CUCCGAAUGCUCACGUUUAGAAGUCCGGCAGUAAGGGGGCGGGUGCUAAGGUCCGUCCCCGAGAGGAGAAGAAUCCAGACCGUCGUCUAAGGUCCCGGAAUUCUGCCUGAGUUAGUCUAACGAAGUCUGGUCCCCGCGACAGCUAGGAUGUUGGCUUGGAAGCAGCCAUUCAUUUAAAGAGUGCGUAACAGCUCACUAGUCGAGGGUCCGGGCAUGGAUAAUAAUCGGGUAUAAGGCAGAUACCGAAGGCACGGGAUAGCAAUUUAUAAAAGUAUCGGUAGGGGAGCAUUCCAUGUGCGCAGAAUGGUGAAGGUGACUGAUCCUGGAGCGCAUGGAAAAGCAAAUGUAGGUAUAAGUAACGAUAAAAAGGGUGAGAUUCCCUUUCGCUGUAAGACUAAGGUUUCCCGGGCAAUGUCAAUCAGCCCGGGGUCAGUCGGGUCCUAAGCCUCAGCCGAACGGCGAGGGCGAUGGCAGAUACGGUUAAUAUUCCGUAACUACCUUAAGGAGCGAUGUGGAGACGGAGUCGUGAAACUUCCGCGGACCGACGGAAUGGUCCGUUAAAGAGUGUAGAUGUUGAUGAUUGUAGGCAAAUCCGCAAUCAGAGUCGAACUUGAUAGUACAGGCAUCUCUUCGGAGACGCUUGAUAGUGAGGGUAAACAUACUCCCGAGAAAAUCCGCUAAGCAUAUUUUUAAGGUACCCGUACCGCAAACGGACACACGUAGUCGAGUAGAACAUACUAAGGCGUUGAGAGAUUCAUGGUUAAGGAACUAGGCAAACUGACCCCGUAACUUCGGGAUAAGGGGUCCUCGUCGUAAGGCGAGGCGCAGAGAAUAGGUCCAGGCAACUGUUUAACAAAAACACAGGGCUGUGCGAACUCGAAAGAUGAAGUAUACAGCCUGACACCUGCCCGGUGCCGGAAGGUUAAGAGGAGAUGUCACCGCAAGGGAAGCAUUGAAUUGAAGCCCCGGUAAACGGCGGCCGUAACUAUAACGGUCCUAAGGUAGCGAAAUUCCUUGUCGGGUAAGUUCCGACCUGCACGAAUGGUGUAAUGAUCCGGACGCUGUCUCAACCAUGAGCUCAGUGAAAUUGUAGUAUCGGUGAAGAUGCCGAUUACCCGCGAUGGGACGAAAAGACCCCGUGAACCUUUACUACAGCUUAGCAUUGACCUUGGUCAUCCGAUGUGUAGGAUAGGCCGGAGGCUUUGAAUCUGCGUCGCCAGGCGUGGUGGAGCCAUCCUUGAAAUACGGCCCUUUGGCUGUCUGAGGUCUAACGCGCAAUGCGCGGACACUGUUUGGUGGGUAGUUUGACUGGGGUGGUCGCCUCCAAAAGCGUAACGGAGGCUUCCAAAGGUGCCCUCGGACCGAUUGGUAACCGGUCUUAUAGAGUGCAAUGGCAUAAGGGCGCUUGACUGGGAGGCAGACAUGCCGAGCAGGCAGGAAACUGGGGCAUAGUGAUCCGGC
rnacentral:rRNA from 1 species